CUCUGUCUGAAAUACAGGGGUGUCAUAGCACACUUCUGUGGUUUCUCCUACUUGGGAGGCUGAGGCAGGAGGAU
rnacentral:miRNA from 1 species